rnacentral:rRNA from 1 species
UUAAAUGAAGUUGACGGGGCCGCACAAGCGGUGGAGCAUGUGGUUUAAUUCGACGCAACGCGCAGAACCUUACCUGGGCUUGACAUCCCGAUCGUACUUUCUGGAAACAGUUAGGUCAGUUCGGCUGGAUCGGUGACAGGUGCUGCAUGGCUGUCGUCAGCCCGUGUCGUGAGAUGUUGGGUUAAGUCCCGCAACGAGCGCAACCCUUGUCCUUAGUUGCCAGCAUUAAGUUGGGCACUCUAAGGAGACUGCCGGUGUUAAACCGGAGGAAGGUGGGGAUGACGUCAAGUCCUCAUGGCCCUUAUGUCCAGGGCUACACACGUGCUACAAUGGAUCGUACAAAGGGUCGCGAACCCGCGAGGGGGAGCCAAUCCCAAAAACCGGUCCUCGGUUCGGAUUGGAGUCUGCAACUCGACUCCAUGAAGUUGGAAUCGCUAGUAAUCGUGGAUCAGCAUGCCACGGUGAAUACGUUCCCGGGCCUU